rnacentral:tRNA from 1 species
UCCCUGGUGGUCCAGUGGCUAAGACUUCACCCUCCUAAUGCAAGGGGCUCAAGUUCGAUUCCUGGCCAGGGAA